rnacentral:rRNA from 1 species
CCUACGGGAGGCAGCAGUGGGGAAUAUUGCACAAUGGGGGGAAACCUGAUGCAGCCAUGCCGCGUGAAUGAAGAAGGCCUUCGGGUUGUAAAGUUCUUUCGGCAGCGAGGAAGGCAUUUAGUUUAAUAGACUAGAUGAUUGACGUUAACUACAGAAGAAGCACCGGCUAACUCCGUGCCAGCAGCCGCGGUAAUAGGGGGGGUGCGAGCGUUAAUCGGAAUAAUUGGGGUUAAAGGGAACGCAGGCGGGACGUUAAGGGAGUGGUUAACGCGCGGGGUUAAACCCCGGAUCGCCAUUGAUACUGGCGCGCUUGAGUGGAAGAGAAGGAUGCGGAAUGCGUGGUGUAGCGGUGAAAUGCGUAGAUAUGAGGCAGAACACCGAUGGCGAAGGCAGCAUGCCGGC